ensembl:lncRNA
AUAGCAGCUGCAGUGUAAGGAUGCAGGAAGAGAUUGUCAUGCUUGAAAUUAUGUGCCUACUUUCAUCAUUGGACGACAAACUGUGACUCUGAGGAAUAAUCAAUUUAGAAGAGCUAGACAGUGGCAAACACUUAAUUGUCAUGGGCUGUGACUAUACAAUGUGUGGUAAGACUUUUAAAGCUCAAAUACAGCGCUUAUUGUUUGACAGGGUGUGAAAGUCCUGGGUUUCACAAUCUGCUCUGGUUUUUGCGGUUUCUGAUCCAUCACCUUCCUGGGCAUUUUGUGAGAAACCGUUUGCUUCACUUUGGUGUUUGGUGAGGUUAAGCCUUGUUUCAGUAUUUGUGAGAUGUUGGCUCUGAAUUUCUGAGGAACCAUGCACCAACAGGUGAAAUGAUGUUUUCUGAAAGUAAAAUGUUUUGCUGUAUUACAGUUUUAUGGCUUUUUAAGUGUUGUACAUUAAUGGCCUUUUGGGUUCACAUGUGUAUUGUGCCUUUAACUUUCCCUGUUUUUAUUUGAUAUUGAUAAAGUUUCUAUAAUGCAUCUUUUAACCCCACUUUCAUUUAUCGGUUUCUAUAAUUUCCUGUUUAAGGAAGUCUAACUGCUUCUGUAGACCAAUGCUUUCUCCGAUAUCUAUGCCGUUUUGGUACUGAACCACAGCCUUUCACCCUCCUUUGGACUAACUAUGUAGGGCAGCCAGCAACAAAUCUGUCAUUUCUGCUUCUCUGCCGCCCUCUACAGAUGUUUGCCAUUCCCUUCAAUCAUCUGGGCAGGUUAAGUAUCAUGUUUGUUUGAUGCUGUCAAAUUAUUAUUUUUUUUUUGACUUUGUGGCUGUUGGCUAAUUUGAAUCAUCUGCUGAGAUGAAGCGGUAAGUAUUGGUAGUAUUUCCUUUGACUAUAUCGGUCCCCAUAACAACAGGUCCAAAAUAGUCUCUCUUAACCGGUCUAGCUUUGGAAGCAGUGUUUCCUUUCUGAAGAACUACUUAAACCUGUUAAAGCUCCUCAAUCAUCUGUCACCCUACUAGUCCUUUCUGUGGUCUCUGCUGUAAACCACCAGAUUCUCCAGUCUGCUGUCUGUCAACACCAGUAUGGUACGUCAUAGUCUCACCUCACAGGCUGAUGUUUUUUUGGAUUGAAGAGGUUAUCACUCAGAAGUUCUCUUGUUGAAAGUCAUCUCGACUUCAAUACAUCCCUGUUUACCAAAUGCAGAAGUAUAACUGCUCCUGUACACCAACUGUUCAGCUGCUGGUUGGCUGUUAAUGCUGACUUCACCUUUCCACUCAGAUAAAAUGGCAAAUUUGAUUUUUGUCAGAGACAUUGAGAUUUGCACAUAACACUGUAAAUCCCUCAGACCCUUCUCCUGCACCUGAAUGACCUCAAGUGCAGCCAUUGCGGACCGUAUGUGUGCUACAAAUGCAUGCAGGCCUGUGAGAUGAUGGAAAGUCCAUGUAGUUUUAAUGAUUUUGAGAUCUCUACUUUCAGGUAUUGUACAGGUAAACAUCAGCUGUUCAAUUUGCUUUUGUUCCCAUUAUUUGGGCUAAAGGUGUGUGUGGUGUUGGGUGCUCUUGGCUGUAACUUCCAAAUGCAACAACUGAGAUCAGUGUACUGCUAUCUUGUUUUUAUACUUCUAUCCUGUCUUGAUCAAAGCCCAUCAGUGACUUGAGUCCCUCGGUAAGUCCCUUUCCCUUGGUAAGUCUUUCUUUGCAACUCAAAGUUCUUCUAAUCUUUUUAAUCUUGUUCAGCACUACAGCAUCUCAAGCUGGAUAACCAGUUGGACCUCAGUGCAUGUAACAAUCACUGUUUUCUUGUUACGUUUUGUACAUGUAAGUAAAAAUCCGUAUGCACUUUUAAUCUGGGUUAACAAACAAGUUUAAUUUGUGCAAAUUUUUCAAACCAUGCCUGAAGAGCCUCCAGGAGC